rnacentral:rRNA from 1 species
UACGGAGGGUGCGAGCGUUGUUCGGAAUCACUGGGCGUAAAGCGCGUGUAGGCGGCCCAUUAAGUCUGAUGUGAAAGCCCGGGGCUCACCCCCGGAAGUGCAUUGGAAACUGAUGGACUCGAGUCCCGGAGAGGAGAGUGGAAUUCCUGGUGUAGCGGUGAAAUGCGUAGAUAUCAGGAGGAACACCGGUGGCGAAGGCGGCUCUCUGGACGGUGACUGACGCUGAGGAGCGAAAGCGUGGGGAGCGAACAGG